AGUCGGUUAGAGGCUCAUGGGACUCUGUACUGCUUGAUCCUAGAUCCUGCCUUUCCAAGCAGAACUCAGAGACUUAUUUCGAGUGUUACCAAGCUCACAGGACUUUUCAAACGACCCAUGAAGUCCUGCGCCUUCUUACGAAACUCCUCGUUUUUGGUGGGGGCAGCCUUGCUCUCCCUGUUCUUAGUGAUACUAAAGCUUCCACGCAAAGAGGAAAGGCCAGCUCUGACGAACCAGAAUUUAGGAGGCAAGGAGGUGACCAGUUGUUUCCUCUUUUACAAGGACGCUUUGGGGAUGAGUCAGGAGGGAGCUCCAGGGAGUUCAUGGAUUCCAGAUGUUUCUAACUAGCCCCGCCUGUGGGGUUGUCUGUGGAUCUGAGGCACACAGCAGCUUUUAGAAGGUUGGCUGUCCUCUGCUUCAGGACAGUGCUGGAAGACAAAUAAUACACUCUGACUACUUGCUGUGUUGUGUCCCGCACAAGUACAGAUUUGUCUUUUAAGUCCUGAAACUGAUGAGGGCUCCCAGGUGAUGGGGUGAAUUGUGGGCCUGGGGACACACCAUUGAGCACUCUUCUUUUACUGGUGGGCCAGCCCAGCCACACUUGUUAAUAGUCCCAAGUUCUUGAACCCUUAUAUUGCCUGCCUGUCUGCCUUCCCACCUCCCUCUCUCCCUUCCUCCUUCCUGUUUUUUGAUACGAUGUCUCAUAUAGCCUAGGCUUCAAACUUGCUAUGUAGUUGAAGAUAAGUUGAACUUCUGAUCCUCCUGCCCCUAACUUCUAACAACUAGAUUUUGAGGGGUGAACUGUUAUGCGUGGCCCAAAGCCUUGAAACUGGAGUUACAGAUGGUUUUGAGUCGUCAUGUGGAUGCUAGAAAUCAAACCUGGUUCACUAAGGAGCGGGCUCUUAUCUUAGCCUCACGACUUGUUACCAGUCACUUUUUGUCUUAGUGAUCUGUCUUAAUUUCCUUUUCUGUAGCUGUGAUAAAAUACCAAGACAGAAGCAGGUUAAGCAGAAAGUGUUUGGGCUGCAGUUUGAGGUUGCAGUUUAGCAUGACAGGGAAGUAACAGCAGUAGGCUUGAAGCAACUGGCCCACAUGGCAGGUCAAGGAUUAGAGAGUGAUGAAUGCUGGUCCUCAGAUAACCCCUUCUAUACUCCAGGAUCCGAGCUAGGCCAGAGAAUGGUGCCACACAGAAGGAGUUGGUCUUUCCAUCUCAAUUAACCUAAUCAAGAUAAGCCCUCCCGUACACCCAGAGGUUCACCUCAUGGGUGAUUUUAGAUCUUAUCAAAUUGCAAAUUGAGAUGAACAGUCCCGAUCCCUGACCAAAGCAACUUAAAGAAGGAAGAAAUAUUUGGCUUAUAGUUCAAGAGAAUACAGUACCGUCAUGAGGCAGCAGGCAUGGCAGUAGGGCUAGGAGGCAGCUGAAGCAGAGAGCGAGAACGAGUGCCAGAGGCAGUCAUGAGGUUAAUUGCACAAAUUAGCUCCUCUAUUCACAUUGAUCCAAACAAAACUGCAAUCUCCUGGACAGAGGGGUGUGGACAAUGAUUUUGGUGUGGAUAGUGGAAGGCAGGAUUCUGCUUCCAGAGCAAUUCUGCAUGUCAGGAAGUUGGAGCAGCAGCAGAGGUAGCAGCUUCAGCAGAGGUAGCAGCUGCGGCAGUGGCAGCAGUGGCAGCAGCAGCAGCACUGGCACCGGCACUGGCAGAGGCAGCGGCAGUGGCAGCAGUGGCAGCAGUGGCGGCAGCAGCAGCAGCACAAGGAGCUGCUAGGCUAGAAGCACAGAGCUGAGCUGAGGCCAUGCAUCUUCUCACACUCACUGCAGGGCUGGGCCUGCUCUCUGUNNNNNNNNNNNNNNNNNNNNNNNNNNNNNNNNNNNNNNNNNNNNNNNNNNNNNNNNUAUUCUUCCAGUAAAUUGAUUUCAGAUUUCAUCCAGGGUAAGGCCCCUGUGACUGUUGUGUAUCUGGGAGACAGAGCCAACUUCCUAAUGAUUUCAGGAGAAACUGAGAUGAAGCAGACCGUGGUCAGUCGGUACAGUCAUGGUUCUCUCAGGUCACCUCCUCAGCCAUGUCCAUUCUGCCCUGUCCUCCGGCUCAGCUCCCUGAAGUGAAAGGUCAACCUGUCCUCCAGAUCACCUUUCUCAGUUCCCUCUGGAUGCCUGUGCAGGGUCUGUGGUCAGGGCUCUUCCCAGGAAGUGUUUCUCCUAGGAGGCCUGUGCCCUGUCUGCUUGGUUCUACCUACUGCUGCUGUUGGUGAGAGACAGCCAUGGUCAGGACUCAUCCUGACAUCCCGACAUCCCGGACCCUUCCAUCUUGCACUGAGAUCUGACUGCAUUCUCCUCCUGCCUCUCACCCACCCUCUUCCUGAUUCCCUUCUCCCUGCAACUGUGUGCACUUGUGGCCUCCAACUGCAGAUCUUGGGAAAGUGGUACAUAAGGUGCUGGGCAGGAGACUUGCCUAUUCCUGAGUCGAGAUGGAAAGACCCGCUGCCUCCCUUCACCUUUGAGAGAAACAGUCUUGAUGAGUUGGAGUUCAGGAUGAACCUGACGUGAGUGGUCUCUGCGGAGGUAAUGUCUGCUGCUGCUGCCAAACAGUUCUAAGUGUGACUAAGCACAGACUGCCUCACCUCUAGUAGUCACUGAGGAAUGUGGCAUCUUCUGUGUUGCCUGGGCAACACACCAGGUGACCUCUUCAUGAGGUCAGAGAUCUAACUUGCUGUGGUCUAUGCCCAUGCUGAAUAGGGUGAGAGGAUCUCUUGCACAGGAUUGCUUGCUUCAGGAGAGGCCAGCAUGGGUCCCAGAAAUAAGAAUGGGGAAGGACUAGGUGCCCUGGGGAGAGCCAUACUUGGACCCUGUGUUCUAGGAAACCCAUUGGCUGUAUUCAGUACAAGCUGCCUCUGUAUGAGGGAGAGGACCCUGGUAUGUUCCUCACAUGGUGGAGGCAUGUCAUCUACAUCCAUUUCCUGCCUGGGAAGGAGUCUGCCAUUGCCUACUUCAGGGGCAACAUGAACUAUCAGUACUACCAGCUGCUGCUGCUCAUGGGCCGCACCCUGAGACCUAACCCAGAUGCUGAGAGGAUCUUCAAGGAGUCUGUGAUGAGUAUAAUGCCCCAAACUGGAAGGAUAAUUACCCCUCCCCAUGCUGGUAGGGAAGGAUUUCCUCGUCCCCUCUCUCCUUUCUCCUCACUCAGGCUUGUGCUCUGGAUAUUUCUCUUAUACACAAGAAACCACAUGAACAGCAUCAUGUUUCAUAGCUCAUCUAAGUUUUCUGGUUUUUGUCCCUCUACAGAAGCCUGUGUGUUUGUCCUAGACCCCCAGUGCACUAAGGGAGUGCUGCAGUAUCCAUGCAGAAAGCAGGAGAUGGGACCUGGCUGACCCAGAGGUGCAGACACCCACAUGUAGAACUCUCAGUGUCAAAGAGCACAGGGCCUAACACCCACUCCUCCCCCAAGUCUGCAUUCAAUAAAUUCGGUGGAUAUCACUCAA
ensembl:antisense